rnacentral:rRNA from 1 species
AACGAACGCUGGCGGCAGGCCUAACACAUGCAAGUCGAACGCACCGCAAGGUGAGUGGCGCACGGGUGAGUAACACGUGGGAAUGUACCCUUUGGUUCGGAAUAACGUUUGGAAACGAACGCUAAUACCGGAUGAGCCCUGCGGGGGAAAGAUUUAUCGCCAAAGGAGCAGCCCGCGUCUGAUUAGCUAGUUGGUGGGGUAAAGGCCUACCAAGGCGACGAUCAGUAGCUGGUCUGAGAGGAUGAUCAGCCACACUGGGACUGAGACACGGCCCAGACUCCUACGGGAGGCAGCAGUGGGGAAUAUUGGACAAUGGGGGGCAACCCUGAUCCAGCAAUGCCGCGUGUGUGAAGAAGGCCUUCGGGUUGUAAGCACUUUGUUCAGGAACGAAACGGUUAGAGGUUAAUACCCUUGGCUAAUGACGGUACCUGAAGAAUAAGACACCGGCUAACUACGUGCCAGCAGCCGCGGU